GAUGAACGCUGGCGGCGUGCCUAAUACAUGCAAGUCGAGCGAACAGACGAGGCGCUUGCUCCUCUGACGUUAGCGGCGGACGGGUGAGUAACACGUGGAUAACCUACCUAUAAGACUGGGAUAACUUCGGGAAACCGGAGCUAAUACCGGAUAAUAUAUUGAACCGCAUGGUUCAAUAGUGAAAGACGGUUUUGCUGUCACUUAUAGAUGGAUCCGCGCCGCAUUAGCUAGUUGGUAAGGUAACGGCUUACCAAGGCGACGAUGCGUAGCCGACCUGAGAGGGUGAUCGGCCACACUGGACCUGAGACACGGUCCAGACUCCUACGGGAGGCAGCAGUAGGGAAUCUUCCGCAAUGGGCGAAAGCCUGACGGAGCAACGCCGCGUGGGUGAUGAAGGUCUUCGGAUCGUAAAACUCUGUUAUUAGGGAAGAACAAAUGGGUAAGUAACUAUGCACGUCUUGACGGUACCUAAUCAGAGAGCCACGGCUAACUACGUG
rnacentral:rRNA from 1 species